UACGUAGGGUGCAAGCGUUAUCCGGAUUUAUUGGGUUUAAAGGGUGCGCAGGCGGCACGGCAAGCCGGCGGUCAAAUCGCGGGGCUCAACCCCGCCCAGCCGUCGGAACUGCCGGGCUAGAGUGGGCGAGAAGUGCGCGGAAUGCGUGGUGUAGCGGUGAAAUGCAUAGAUAUCACGCAGAACUCCGAUUGCGAAGGCAGCGCACCGGCGCCCUACUGACGCUCAGGCACGAAAGCGUGGGUAUCGAACAGG
rnacentral:rRNA from 1 species